rnacentral:rRNA from 1 species
GACGAACGCUGGCGGCGUGCUUAACACAUGCAAGUCGAACGGUGAAGGGGAGCUUGCUCCCCGGAUCAGUGGCGAACGGGUGAGUAACACGUGGGCAACCUGCCCCAGACUUCGGGAUAACGCUUCGAAAGAGGUGCUAAUACCGGAUACGAACCCCUUGGGCAUCCUUGGGGUUGGACAGUUUUUCGGUCUGGGAUGGGCCCGCGGCCUGUCAGCUGGUUGGUGAGGUAACGGCUCACCAAGGCGACGACGGGUAGCCGGCCGGAGAGGGCGACCGGCCACACUGGGACUGAGACACGGCCCAGACUCCUACGGGAGGCAGCAGUGGGGAAUAUUGCGCAAUGGGCGAAAGCCUGACGCAGCAACGCCGCGUGAGGGAUGACGGCCUUCGGGUUGUAAACCUCUUUCAGCAGGGAAGAAGCGAAAGUGACGGUACCUGCAGAAGAAGCACCGGCUAACUACGUGCCAGCAGCCGCAGUAACAC